UCGAAGGAGACGGUAUCCACGGAUGAUC
rnacentral:sRNA from 1 species